GUUUGGCAACACAUAUACUAAAAUGGGAAUGAUACAGAAAAGGUUAGCAUGGCCCCUGUGCAAGGAUAACAUAAAUAUAUACGAAAUGUUUCAUAUUUAA
rnacentral:snRNA from 1 species